rnacentral:rRNA from 1 species
CUGCCUGUAAGACUGGGAUAACUCCGGGAAACCGUGGCUAAUACCGGAUGCUUGUUUGAACCGCAUGGUUCAAACAUAAAAGGUGGCUUCGGCUACCACUUACAGAUGGACCCGCGGCGCAUUAGCUAGUUGGUGAGGUAACGGCUCACCAAGGCAACGAUGCGUAGCCGACCUGAGAGGGUGAUCGGCCACACUGGGACUGAGACACGGCCCAGACUCCUACGGGAGGCAGCAGUAGGGAAUCUUCCGCAAUGGACGAAAGUCUGACGGAGCAACGCCGCGUGAGUGAUGAAGGUUUUCGGAUCGUAAAGCUCUGUUGUUAGGGAAGAACAAGUACCGUUCGAAUAGGGCGGUACCUUGACGGUACCUAACCAGAAAGCCACGGCUAACUACGUGCCAGCAGCCGCGGUAAUACGUAGGUGGCAAGCGUUGUCCGGAAUUAUUGGGCGUAAAGGGCUCGCAGGCGGUUCCUUAAGUCUGAUGUGAAAGCCCCCGGCUCAACCGGGGAGGGUCAUUGGAAACUGGGGAACUUGAGUGCAAAAGAGGAGAGUGAAAUUCCACGUGUAGCGGUGAAAUGCGUAUAGAUGUGGAGGAACACCAGUGGCGAAGCGACUCUCUGGUCUGUAACUGACG